rnacentral:rRNA from 1 species
CACUUUCAACCAUAACACCGUGGGAAUGCCUGAUCUUGUCUGAUCUUGGAAGUUAAGUGCGUUGGGCCUGGUUAGUACUUGAAUGGGAAGCUGCUAGCAAUACCAGUUGUCACAGUGG